UACAGAGGUCUCAAGCGUUGUUCGGAUUCACUGGGUUUAAAGGGUGCGUAGGCGGAUAGGUAAGUCCGUGGUGAAAUCCUGCAGCUUAACUGCAGAACUGCCAUGGAUACUAUCUAUCUUGAAUGUCGUGGAGGUUAGCGGAAUAUGUCAUGUAGCGGUGAAAUGCUUAGAGAUGACAUAGAACACCCAUUGCGAAGGCAGCUAACUACGCGAUAAUUGACGCUGAUGCACGAAAGCGUGGGGAUCAAACAGG
rnacentral:rRNA from 1 species